rnacentral:tRNA from 1 species
GGCCCCAUGGUCUAGUGGUUAAGACGCGGCCCUCUCAAGGCUGUAACAGGGGUUCAAAUCCCCUUGGGGCUA